rnacentral:misc_RNA from 1 species
GAUGAAGAACGUAGCGAAAUGCGAUAAGUAAUGUGAAUUGCAGAUUUUCAGUGAAUCAUCGAAUCUUUGAACGCACCUUGCGCUCCCUGGUAUUCCGGGGAGCAUGCCUGUUUGAGUGUCAUUAAAUUCUCAACCCCGAUCGGAUUUGUUUUCGCAUUCGGAGGCUUGGAUAGUGGAGCGUGCUGGCCCCCUCUCAUGGGUCGGCUCCUCUCAAAUGCAUUCGCGGAAUCGACUUUGGUCCAUUUCGGUCAUCAGUGUGAUAAACGUUGCGCUGUUGGCUAGGAUCGAGGUGCCACAUACAAUGGUCUUCGGACAAUUUUAUAAACCAUUUGACCUCAAAUCAGGUAGGACUACCCGCUGAACUUAAGCAUAUCAAUAAGCGGAGGA